rnacentral:rRNA from 1 species
AGAGUUUGAUCAUGGCUCAGAUUGAACGCUGGCGGCAUGCCUUACACAUGCAAGUCGAACGGCAGCACGGACUUCGGUCUGGUGGCGAGUGGCGAACGGGUGAGUAAUAUAUCGGAACAUACCCUAGAGUGGGGGAUAACGUAGCGAAAGUUACGCUAAUACCGCAUACGAACUAAGGUUGAAAGUGGGGGAUCGCAAGACCUCAUGCUCAUGGAGUGGCCGAUAUCUGAUUAGCUAGUUGGUGAGGUAAAAGCUCACCAAGGCGACGAUCAGUAGCUGGUCUGAGAGGACGACCAGCCACACUGGAACUGAGACACGGUCCAGACUCCUACGGGAGGCAGCAGUGGGGAAUUUUGGACAAUGGGGGCAACCCUGAUCCAGCAAUGCCGCGUGAGUGAAGAAGGCCUUCGGGUUGUAAAGCUCUUUUGUCAGGGAAGAAACGGUGAUCUCUAAUAUAGAUUGCUAAUGACGGUACCUGAAGAAUAAGCACCGGCUAACUACGUGCCAGCAGCCGCGGUAAUACGUAGGGUGCAAGCGUUAAUCGGAAUUACUGGGCGUAAAGCGUGCGCAGGCGGUUUCUUAAGUCAGAUGUGAAAGCCCCGGGCUUAACCUGGGAACUGCGUUUGAAACUGGGAGACUUGAGUGUGGCAGAGGGGGGUGGAAUUCCACGUGUAGCAGUGAAAUGCGUAGAUAUGUGGAGGAACACCGAUGGCGAAGGC